rnacentral:rRNA from 1 species
UAAGGAAUAUUGGUCAAUGGACGCAAGUCUGAACCAGCCAUGCCGCGUGGAGGAUGAAGGUCCUCUGGAUUGUAAACUUCUUUUAUUUGGGAAGAAACCCAUCUUUUCUUGGAUGGCUGACGGUACCAGAUGAAUAAGCACCGGCUAACUCCGUGCCAGCAGCCGCGGUAAUACGGAGGGUGCAAGCGUUAUCCGGAUUCACUGGGUUUAAAGGGUGCGUAGGUGGGCAAGUAAGUCAGUGGUGAAAUCUCCGGGCUUAACCCGGAAACUGCCAUUGAUACUAUUUGUCUUGAAUACUGUGGAGGUCAGCGGAAUAUGUCAUGUAGCGGUGAAAUGCUUAGAUAUGACAUAGAACACCAAUUGCGAAGGCAGCUGGCUACACAAAUAUUGACACUGAGGCACGAAAGCGUGGGGAUCAAACAG